rnacentral:rRNA from 1 species
CUACGUGCCAGCAGCCGCGGUAAUGCGGAAGGUCCGGGCGUUAUCCGGAUUUAUUGGGUUUAAAGGGAGCGUAGGCCGUGGAUUAAGCGUGUUGUGAAAUGUAGACGCUCAACGUCUGAAUUGCAGCGCGAACUGGUUCACUUGAGUAUGCACAACGUAGGCGGAAUUCGUCGUGUAGCGGUGAAAUGCUUAGAUAUGACGAAGAACUCCGAUUGCGAAGGCAGCUUACGGGAGCACAACUGACGCUGAAGCUCGAAGGUGCGGGUAUCAAACAGGAUUAGAUACCCUGGUAGUCCGCACAGUAAACGAUGGAUGCCCGUUGUUAGUUCACUUUAGAAUUAGCGACCAAGCGAAAGCAUUAAGCAUCCCACCUGGGGAGUACGCCGGCAACGGUGAAACUCAAAGGAAUUGACGGGGGCCCGCACAAGCGGAGGAACAUGUGGUUUAAUUCGAUGAUACGCGAGGAACCUUACCCGGGCUUGAA